rnacentral:rRNA from 1 species
UACAUGGGGUGCAAACGUUGCUCGGAAUUAUUGGGCGUAAAGCGCGCGUAGGCGGUUACUCAAGUCGGAUGUGAAAGCCCUCGGCUUAACUGAGGAAGUGCACCCGAAACUGAGUAGCUAGAGUACUAAAGAGGGUCGCGGAAUUCCCGGUGUAGAGGUGAAAUUCGUGGAUAUCGGGAGGAACACCAGUGGCGAAGGCGGCGACCUGGACAGAUAUUGACGCUGAGGUGCGAAAGCGUGGGGAGCAAACAGG